UACGGAGGAUGCGAGCGUUAUCCGGAUUUAUUGGGUUUAAAGGGUGCGUAGGCGGCGAGUUAAGUCAGCGGUAAAAGCCCGGGGCUCAACCCCGGCCCGCCGUUGAAACUGUCUGGCUAGAGUGCAGGAGAGGUAAGUGGAAUUCCUAGUGUAGCGGUGAAAUGCAUAGAUAUUAGGAGGAACACCAGUGGCGAAGGCGGCUUACUGGACUGUAACUGACACUGAGGCUCGAAAGCGUGGGGAGCAAACAGG
rnacentral:rRNA from 1 species